rnacentral:tRNA from 1 species
GAGUGGAUGGCGGAACUGGUAGACGCACUUAUGUUGAUAGACAUCAGAUUUGGAAGUAGGGAAGGACGCUUCUUGAAAAGUAUCGAAAGAUCAGUAACCCGAAUGUCGGUUCGAAUCCGGCUCCAUUUA